CUAGAUUUUGUUCACUUCGUAGUACUGGUGGAAGAAGCAAAGAGGCAAAAAUCAAGAAUUAUGCUAUUUAUUAGAUGAAAGAUUUCUUUGGGAAAAUAUGUCAAUUUCUUACCAUAUAUUUUGAUUGGAGAUGCUUGCCUUUUUCUUAGGGAAAAGAUUUUUCAUCUUCUCCAUAUUUAUUGUCAACAGUAUCCUCUUCUUAAUGAUGGAUAUCAAUAUCCAUCGUUGGUGAGCAACUCUUCUUUGGCAAGAUAUAGGAUUGGGGGUUGGGGUUAUUAACUUGGUUUCAUGAUGUGCAGUUCCCCCAACCCUAGAAGUCUAGAGGGAGGGGUUGGUGCACAUGGGACAAUUAGUGAAGGAUCCAGGGCUUGAAGGAAGGAGGGGCUCAUUCCCCCUUCUUCCUCCUUCCUCCUCUAUUUCUCUUCUUCUUCCUCCUUUUCUUCUUCCCCCUCUUCAUCCAUAGUUGAAAUUUUUAGGGGAGCUUUAGGGGGCUUCAUGGGCUUCAUGGGGGUAGGGGCUCCAGCCCCUAUGGUGGAUCCCCCUGAGGGAGGUUGUGACAUCCCUGAUGCAGAGGCAGCAUAAUGGAUGAGGUAGUGGGCAAGCAUAAUGUUGGGAUCGGAGAUCCUGAACAGGUUAGAGAGAUAAGACAUACAACUUUUAAACAAAUGGUCAAAAGUCCCCUCCUCCAAGUCCUAUGUCUCUAUUUAUAGGUGGGGAGGAUCUCUAUUUAUAGGGGGGAGGAGGUGGUUGUUUAAAUUUAUUCGAUUGGUAGGGAAGAAUAUUAUAAACAAGUCUCUGGUAUUUACAUUGAGGCCCUUGGAUAUUGCAAUUAAAUUACUAAGCCUCACAAAUAAGCCCUCAGACCCCUAUUUCAGACCUCUGUUACACACAAAGGGGUCCUAGCCUUGGGCCACCUAAGCCGCACCCCAACACACAACAUAGGAUAGUGGAUUGGAGCUAGCAGAGCCAAAUAGAGAGAUAAAAAAUGUUAGAGAUAAGGUUAUGAGGGGAGAGGGAAAUCUAGCCCACUUAUGCUACAUCUAAUCAAACAAUAUGGAGGAUACGAAACAUAUAAGAUAGACUCCUACUUGAACUGCCCAAAUAUAGUUGUAAUUCGAGUAGAUAUCAUACAUUAUAACCGACUAGUCGACAUACCAUGCAACCCUGCCCCUGUCGGUGUUUUAUACCUGGCAACCUACCAAGGGAGUACCCGAGGUAGAGUUUUGGUUGGUGGGUGUCGCCGAAAUCAAGAGCUCGAUGGUGUAC
rnacentral:lncRNA from 1 species